GCAAAGACGGGAUAGGAGGUGUUCUUACCCAGAUACACGCAGACAAUACGGAGAGAAGAGUGGCUUUUGCCUCACGCACUCUUACCGCAGCAGAACGGAAGUACUCCACAGUAGAAAAAGAGGCACUAGCAUGUGUUUGGGCCACAGAGCGCUGGAGGACCUACUUGUGGGGACGACACUUCACACUGCGGACAGAUCACAGCCCGCUGACCACCCUUCUGUCAUCUAAGGGUCAAGGCAGAGCAGGUAUGCGCAUAGCAAGAUGGUCAGCUAGGCUGAUGGCAUUUACCUAUGAUAUUCAGUAUAAGCCGGGGCAUGAGAAUGUGACUGCAGACUGUCUAUCUCGCUUACCACUCCCUAGUACUGAACCUAGUCUGGAACAUGAUUUGGAAGUCGUAGCUCUCACUUCUACACUCACUGCAAUAACCAGCUCUGAGUUCAAAGCGGCAUGUGAUUCUUGUCCUAUCCAAGCUGAGCUACGCAGACUGCUCACCUCAAAAUGGCCACAGUGUGCAAAGGCACUGGAUCAUGCGUUAAAGCCGUAUUUUCAAGUGCGGCAUGAACUUUCACUCCAGGAUGGUUGCGUGGUGCGUGGAACCACACGCCUUCUGGUUCCAGAAUGUCUCCAGCCCAAGUUCAUCGCACUCGCACAUGAUACACAUCAGGGCAUUGUGAGGACAAAAAGGAGGCUGAGAGAACUCUACUGGUGGCCUGGCAUGGACAAACAAGUAGAAACAGCUGUCAAAGCGUGUGUCACUUGUCAGUUACAUGAUAAAUCGGCUGUCACACAUUCCACACCACUCCAACCUGUACCUUACCCUACUGACGCCUGGGAGAAAGUGGCCAUAGACAUCAUGGGUCCUUUUGAUGCAGCACCUGAUGAUUGUCGUUUUGUGGUCACUCUGGUGGACUAUUACAGUAAGUGGCCUGAGAUAGCAUUUGUCUCACAUCCUACCACCCAGGCCGUGAUGCAGUUCUUGUCUACAGUGUUUAGCAGGGAAGGGAACCCGAAAGAGCUGAUUUCUUAUAAUGGAGUACAGUUCACUUCACAC
rnacentral:lncRNA from 1 species